rnacentral:rRNA from 1 species
GAUGAACGCUGGCGGCGUGCCUAAUACAUGCAAGUCGAGCGAAUGGAUUGAGAGCUUGCUCUUAUGAAGUUAGCGGCGGACGGGUGAGUAACACGUGGGUAACCUGCCCAUAAGACUGGGAUAACUCCGGGAAACCGGGGCUAAUACCGGAUAACAUUUUGAACCGCAUGGUUCGAAAUUGAAAGGCGGCUUCGGCUGUCACUUAUGGAUGGACCCGCGUCGCAUUAGCUAGUUGGUGAGGUAACGGCUCACCAAGGCAACGAUGCGUAGCCGACCGGAGAGGGGGCGCGGCCACACUGGGACUGAGACACGGCCCAGACUCCUACGGGAGGCAGCAGUAGGGAAUCUUCCGCAAUGGACGAAAGUCUGACGGAGCAACGCCGCGUGAGUGAUGAAGGCUUUCGGGUCGUAAAACUCUGUUGUUAGGGAAGAACAAGUGCUAGUUGAAUAAGCUGGCACCUUGACGGUACCUAACCAGAAAGCCACGGCUAACUACGUGCCAGCCGCCGCGGUAA